UUAUCUGAACCUUCGGGGGACGAUAACGGCGUCGAGCGGCGGACGGGUGAGUAAUGCCUAGGAAAUUGCCCUGAUGUGGGGGAUAACCAUUGGAAACGAUGGCUAAUACCGCAUAAUGCCUACGGGCCAAAGAGGGGGACCUUCGGGCCUCUCGCGUCAGGAUAUGCCUAGGUGGGAUUAGCUAGUUGGUGAGGUAAUGGCUCACCAAGGCGACGAUCCCUAGCUGGUCUGAGAGGAUGAUCAGCCACACUGGAACUGAGACACGGUCCAGACUCCUACGGGAGGCAGCAGUGGGGAAUAUUGCACAAUGGGCGCAAGCCUGAUGCAGCCAUGCCGCGUGUGUGAAGAAGGCCUUCGGGUUGUAAAGCACUUUCAGUCGUGAGGAAGGUGGUGUAGUUAAUAGCUGCAUUAUUUGACGUUAGCGACAGAAGAAGCACCGGCUAACUCCGUGCCAGCAGCCGCGGUAAUACGGAGGGUGCGAGCGUUAAUCGGAAUUACUGGGCGUAAAGCGCAUGCAGGUGGUUUGUUAAGUCAGAUGUGAAAGCCCGGGGCUCAACCUCGGAAUAGCAUUUGAAACUGGCAGACUAGAGUACUGUAGAGGGGGGUAGAAUUUCAGGUGUAGCGGUGAAAUGCGUAGAGAUCUGAAGGAAUACCGGUGGCGAAGGCGGCCCCCUGGACAGAUACUGACACUCAGAUGCGAAAGCGUGGGGAGCAAACAGGAUUAGAUACCCUGGUAGUCCACGCCGUAAACGAUGUCUACUUGGAGGUUGUGGCCUUGAGCCGUGGCUUUCGGAGCUAACGCGUUAAGUAGACCGCCUGGGGAGUACGGUCGCAAGAUUAAAACUCAAAUGAAUUGACGGGGGCCCGCACAAGCGGUGGAGCAUGUGGUUUAAUUCGAUGCAACGCGAAGAACCUUACCUACUCUUGACAUCCAGAGAACUUUCCAGAGAUGGAUUGGUG
rnacentral:rRNA from 1 species